GUUGAACGCUGGCGGCAGGCCUAACACAUGCAAGUCGAACGAGUGGCGGAGGGGUGAAUAAUGUCUGGGAAACUGCCCGAUGGAGGGGGAUAACUACUGGAAACGGUAGCUAAUACCGCAUACCAUCGGAUGUGCCCCUAUGGGAUUAGCUAGUAGGUGGGGUAAAGGCUCACCUAGGCGGCGAGCCCUAGCUGGUCUGAGAGGAUGACCAGCCACACUGGAACAGAGAGACGGUCCAGACUCCUACGGGAGUCAGCAGUGGGGAAUAUUGCACAAUGGGCGCAAGCCUGAUGCAGCCAUGCCGCGUGGAUGAAGAAGGCCUUCGGGUUGUAAAGUACUUUCAGCGGGGAGGCGUUACCCGCAGAAGAAGCACCGGCUAACUCCGUGCCAGCCGCCGCGGUAAUAC
rnacentral:rRNA from 1 species